rnacentral:rRNA from 1 species
AACGAACGCUGGCGGCAUGCCUAACACAUGCAAGUCGAACGAGACCUUCGGGUCUAGUGGCGCACGGGUGCGUAACGCGUGGGAACCUGCCCUUAGGUUCGGAAUAACUCCCCGAAAGGGGUGCUAAUACCGGAUAAUGUCUUCGGAUCAAAGAUUUAUCGCCUUUGGAUGGGCCCGCGUUGGAUUAGCUAGUUGGUAGGGUAAAAGCCUACCAAGGCGACGAUCCAUAGCUGGGUUGAGAGGAUGAGCAGCCACACUGGGAGUGAGACACGGCCCAGACUCCUACGGGAGGCAGCAGUGGGGAAUAUUGGACAAUGGGCGAGAGCCUGGUCCAGCAAUGCCGCGUGAGUGAUGAAGGCCUUAGGGUUGUAAAGCUCUGUUACCCGGGAUGAUAAUGACCGUACCGGGAGAAUAAGCUACGGCUAACUCCGUG